rnacentral:lncRNA from 1 species
GCCUGCAGCCAUAGAAAUCACCUGGUUGGAGCAUCUUACCUGUCUUUCAAACCGAAGUCCUGCAGUCAUGAAACUUGUUUUUUUCCACCUUUUUGCUGCGCUGGUGGUUACAAGUGAGUCCAGUAGAAUAUGUCAGUUUGCAGCAGUAGAGACCUUUGUUUAGGGCAUGAUGGCAUACAUUCUUGGCUUUCGUUAUACUUAAGAGUAGGCCCUCUGAAAUCUAUGGGACUUCGUUAAGUCACGGCUAAAGUCUGCAUGAUUACAAUGAGUAUGCUUUGAUUGCAGUAAUUAAGAGAGCAUUAAUUACACAUAUGCGUUGGUUUGUGACUGCACCAAAGGGCCCGGGUGCAAUUCGGAUGGGACCUGCUCCGUUCCAGAGCUAACUGGUGUCUGCCUGACAAUGGCCCACGAGAACAACCUGGCAGGGACCAAAACAUCAGGGCUGUACAAAGCCUGCCAAUACGAUGCCCAAGCUUGCAGCGAAAAGGUCAUGUCAAUUACGGCAGAAAAAGGACUGUUUUGGAGGAGCAACACUGCAUGUUGCAAUCAAGACAACUGCAACACUGCUUCCAUCAGGGUCCCACCUAAGAACCUCACGCAGAAUGCCCAGAGAUGCCCUGCGUGUUUUACUUUUGCUUCCGAUCGCUGUGAAAAUACAGAGAGGCUGAGUUGCACAGGAGCCGAGAGUCACUGCAUCACUGUGUCCGGGAUGCUGAGUGCAGGAUCCGAACCAUUUUCCCCCUUCGCAGCUGCAGGCUGCAGCACGGCCACUGCUUGCUCCCUGCCCAUUCGUGCGGCCCUUUACUUGGAAAACAUGGCCUUCGUCUUCAACAAGGUCGUGUGCCACCCGGCGGUGAACGCCAGCAGCGGCGGCUCGUAGGGGAGCGAGCAGAAAAUUAUUUUGGAGAACAGCAUGUCUUGCUUUUGCAUGUUUGGCCUCGUUCCCUGCUGUGAAGGUCUUGAAUAAACUGGCAUGAAAAUCGCCCCCA